GGUUUGUUUCAGAAGGUUUUAGAUAGAGCUCUGCACCUAAAACAACAAACAAACAAACAAAAAGAUAGUGUUUAAUGAUAGUGAAGUGUCCAAUCAGUGUUGGAUUAGUUUAUAUAUUUGUUGGUGUAUUUAAAGUCCUUCUUGGAACACUGACGUAAAAUAUAAAUGUUCAUUUAGGAAAGUAGUUUCUGGGCUUAUUACAUCUGAUCAUCUUUUCUAAUUCCUAGUCAAUAUUACAUGGGCCCCAAACAGAUUCUACCAAAUGAUCUUAUCAAUAGUCUGAACAAGAAGUGACAGAAAGAAGAAGUGUUUUGUGACCACAGACAUGCUGAUGGGUAAAAUGUUUAAGCUAGGUAUAGAUUUGAGUUCUGGGUCAAUAUCCCUCCUCUGAAGGAGGAAAGCGAGCUGCAUCCGCCCUCUGCAGGGCGUUUGGACAGACCUUGAGAAGGCAUUUUUGUUCUUAGCCACAGGCGCUAUGAACAGACCUGGAAACAUCAUAUAUUAAACAGACACACUAUGUUCCCGACUCAUGCUGGCCAUUCAGGUCCUAAAGCUGCUCUGGUAACUUCCGUGCUAAGUCUUAGAAUGUAUUCCCACUACUUAAAAAAAAAAAAAAAAAAAAAAAAAAAAAGACUACAGAGCCACUAAUACAAGUCUGUGGGGCAGUUGUAAGAUACAGACAAGCCAUCUCUAUCCUAAAGAAAAAAUGCAGUGUUUGUGUUUGCUGAAAACAUGCCAUAUUUUAGAUUUAUGAUAUAUCUAUAUAUAUAUACUGGGGAAGAAAUUAUCAUAUAUGAAAAAGUAUGUGAAGGUCAUAAGAAUGGAAUGGCCAAAAAUAAUAUUAUGCUUGGUGUUUUUUUUUUAAAUACAUUCUCAGUUCCCCUGAAGAAAUGUUCUUUAUGUUUCAGAUAGUAGUAGUAAAACUGCCCUCCUCAUCCUCUCACCUCCUGCUCCUAUAGAGGAGGUCACACACUGUCAGAAUUUUCUGGUGAAAUGGUUUUGAUGGAGACACUCAUCUCUCUAUCUUAUUCCUUCAAAAGUAACCAAUAAAACAAUACAACAGC
rnacentral:lncRNA from 1 species